rnacentral:tRNA from 1 species
CCGUAGGGUAGCCUGGUAUCCUGCUGGCUUCGGGGGCCAGUGACCCGAGUUCAAAUCUCGGCGGCCCCA